UACGGAGGAUGCGAGCGUUAUCCGGAUUUAUUGGGUUUAAAGGGUGCGUAGGCGGGCUUUUAAGUCAGCGGUAAAAAUUCGGGGCUCAACCCCGUCCGGCCGUUGAAACUGGGGGUCUUGAGUGGGCGAGAAGAAGGCGGGAUGCGUGGUGUAGCGGUGAAAUGCAUAGAUAUCACGCAGAACCCCGAUUGCGAAGGCAGCCUUCCGGCGCCCUACUGACGCUGAGGCACGAAAGUGCGGGGAUCGAACAGG
rnacentral:rRNA from 1 species